GUGUCAGCAGCCGCGGUAAUACGUAGGUGGCAAGCGUUGUCCGGAAUUAUUGGGCGUAAAGCGCGCGCAGGCGGUCCUUUAAGUCUGAUGUGAAAGCCCACGGCUCAACCGUGGAGGGUCAUUGGAAACUGGGGGACUUGAGUACAGAAGAGGAAAGUGGAAUUCCAUGUGUAGCGGUGAAAUGCGUAGAGAUGUGGAGGAACACCAGUGGCGAAGGCGACUUUCUGGUCUGUAACUGACGCUGAGGCGCGAAAGCGUGGGGAGCAAACAGG
rnacentral:rRNA from 1 species